UGGAAUCCCCGAGUUUGGGAGUGAGCUCGAGUCACUUGAUUUCUCAUCAACCAAUACUCCCGCUUUGUCUUUUGCUUGUGUACUUUCCUCGUUCUCCUUCUCAGAAUCUCCCUGCUUGGCAGCUUCGUCUUCUUGCUGUUGACUCUUUACCACCCAGAAUCUGAGCAUUUUCAUCAACCAAAGGUAAAUCCCCGGGAUUGUCUUCAAACGUCCCGGAAUUGAUUUUCUCGUUCGGUUUACUGAGUUCGUUGGAUUCAUCACGUGUAACAAUGGUGGUGGAAGCGCGAGGAGUGGGUUUAGGAGGGGCUAUGUUAUCAGAGGUGAGCAUCCAUACACCCAAAACACAUAAGGCUAUGAAGAUUACGGUUGUGAUUGUUGAAACGUAUGAAACCGAGGAAGACGGUCGCUUGUUGCUUCGAAUCCUUCCAAAAGCCAUUUGAAGGAAGGAUUUUGAUUAGCUUUGUGACUUACAGAUUAUGCAGAUGUGUUAAAAAAAAUUAAAAAAAAUUGAGAGAGAUGGGAAUGAAACAUGAGGAAACUAUGAUUUGUUAGUGGAGGUUCCGAGCUUGAUGCAGCAGAAUUGAAAGGAAGAGAGAGAAUGUCUCAAAAGAUCCAAGAUAGUAGGAAGAGGGAAUUAGUUGGAGGCUUGGAGCAUUUCCUUACAUUAAGAUUGACUACAUUUGUACUCUGUAUGUAUAAUUAUAAUAAUAUUACAAUAACAUUACUCAUAUAGUUAUUAUACGGAGAAACCAUUUACAA